rnacentral:rRNA from 1 species
CCUACGGGAGGCAGCAGUGGGGAAUUUUGGGCAAUGGCCGAAAGGCUGACCCAGCGACGCCGCGUGCGGGAGGACGCCCUUCGGGGUGUAAACCGCUGUCAGGGGGGACGAAUCCUUCCGGGGUGAACAGCCUCGGGAAAUGACGGUACCCCCAAAGGAAGCACCGGCUAACUCCGUGCCAGCAGCCGCGGUAAUACGGAGGGUGCGAGCGUUGUUCGGAAUCACUGGGCGUAAAGCGCGCGCAGGCGGGACUUGCAAGUCGGGAGUGAAAUCUCGGGGCUCAACUCCGAGGCUGCUUCCGAAACUGCGGACCUGGAGACCGGUAGAGGUGGGUGGAAUUCCCGGUGUAGCGGUGGAAUGCGUAGAGAUCGGGAAGAACACCUGUGGCGAAGGCGGCCCACUGGGCCGGAUCUGACGCUGAGGCGCGAAAGCGUGGGGAG